AUUGAACGCUGGCGGCAGGCUUAACACAUGCAAGUCGAGCGGAGAUGAGGUGCUUGCACCUUAUCUUAGCGGCGGACGGGUGAGUAAUGCUUAGGAAUCUGCCUAUUAGUGGGGGACAACAUUCCGAAAGGAAUGCUAAUACCGCAUACGCCCUACGGGGGAAAGCAGGGGAUCUUCGGACCUUGCACUAAUAGAUGAGCCUAAGUCGGAUUAGCUAGUUGGUGGGGUAAAGGCCUACCAAGGCGACGAUCUGUAGCGGGUCUGAGAGGAUGAUCCGCCACACUGGGACUGAGACACGGCCCAGACUCCUACGGGAGGCAGCAGUGGGGAAUAUUGGACAAUGGGCGGAAGCCUGAUCCAGCCAUGCCGCGUGUGUGAAGAAGGCCUUUUGGUUGUAAAGCACUUUAAGCGAGGAGGAGGCUACGUGGAUUAAUACUCUAGGAUAGUGGACGUUACUCGCAGAAUAAGCACCGGCUAACUCUGUGCCAGCAGCCGCCGUAAAAC
rnacentral:rRNA from 1 species